rnacentral:rRNA from 1 species
GACGAACGCCGGCGGCGUGCUUAACACAUGCAAGUCGAACGGAAAGGCCCUGCUUUUGUGGGGUGCUCGAGUGGCGAACGGGUGAGUAACACGUGAGUAACCUGCCCUUGACUUUGGGAUAACUUCAGGAAACUGGGGCUAAUACCGGAUAGGAUCUCCUGCUGCAUGGUGGUGGUUGGAAAGUUUCGGCGGUUGGGGAUGGACUCGCGGCUUAUCAGCUUGUUGGUGGGGUAGUGGCUUACCAAGGCUUUGACGGGUAGCCGGCCUGAGAGGGUGAGCGGCCACAAUGGGACUGAGAUACGGCGCAGACUCCUACGGGAGGCAGCAGUGGGGAAUAUUGCAAAAUGGGCGGAAGCGUGAUGCAGAAACGCGGCGUGCGGGAUGACGGCCUUCGGGUUGUAAACCGCUUUCGCCUGUGACGAAGCGUGAGUGACGGUAAUGGGUAAAGAAGCACCGGCUAACUACGUG